rnacentral:rRNA from 1 species
UACGUAGGGGGCGAGCGUUGUCCGGAUUUAUUGGACGUAAAGAGCUCGUAGGCGGUUCGAUAAGUCGGAUGUGAAAUCUCCACGCUCAACGUGGAGGGGCCAUUCGAUACUGUCGUGACUCGAGUCCGGUAGGGGAGUGUGGAAUUCCCGGUGUAGCGGUGAAAUGCGCAGAGAUCGGGAGGAACACCCGUAGCGAAGGCGGCACUCUGGGCCGGUACUGACGCUGAGGAGCGAAAGCGUGGGGAGCGAACAGG